rnacentral:rRNA from 1 species
AUACGGAGGGUGCAAACGUUACUCGGAAUCACUGGGCGUAAAGCGCGCGCAGGCGGGCUGAUAAGUUGGAUGUGAAAGCCUACGGCUCAACCGUAGAACUGCAUCCAAAACUGUCAGUCUAGAGUCUGGGAGGGGAAGAUGGAAUUAGUUGUGUAGGGGUAAAAUCCGUAGAGAUAACUAGGAAUACCAAAAGCGAAGGCGAUCUUCUGGAACAGUACUGACGCUGAGGCGCGAAAGCGUGGGGAGCAAACAGGAUUAGAAACCCUAGUAGUCC